rnacentral:lncRNA from 10 species
GCGAGCUGGAGCACUAGUGGAGUUGGCGGGAAAGGCACGGCUGCGGGCGCCCCCUGUCCGCACGGAGGAGCCGAAGUCCCGCAGGGUGGGGUCCCCGCCUGCGCCGAGAGGGCCACCUGGUCGAGAGAACAGGCGACACGGAAACCUGAGAAACUCCUCUGUCUGGUGCACCUAACCCUCUUCCUCAUAAAGUGCACACGAACUCUGGUUUUUCCGUUGCAAAUUUUGCUUUCUACAUAGACCAUACCAUUCGUUGCUCUCUGAGGAUGAGCUCCUGGCUUCCCAGUCCAGCAGAAGUAUCUACAUCUAUUUCUGGAAAGGACCUGAACUUGGCUUCUCGUCCUUCUGGAAAGUGAGGCGAAAAUGCCAGGCUGCGCAGCUAUCCUGAGGCCCGGCCUGGAACCUGGCUAGCCACCCAGUCCUGAUACCUCAUCUCCUUUCUGUUGGAUAAAGUCAUUGGAUAAGAUCCCCCAGGGUCUUCUUAAUACUGAACAUCUGUUCAUAAUCACAUAAGUGACCAAGUAUAGUGGAAAACCCGAAUGGUCAACUGAGCUGAGCAGUGGGAGAGAGCGCAGGGUGAGCUCACCUACACCUGAGCAAGAAGCCGGGGCUAAAUACGUGGAAAUCACUGAGAUGGAUUUUGAUACAGGGCAGAAAGAAGAGUAAAAUCAUCUCAUAUUACUUUCCACCUGAAGCUCUGAGCCGAAAGAGUUAUUUGCUCAAACACUCUGAAAUGGGGAGGGACAGAGCUCUGACCCCUCCGUCCAGGCCUGUUUGUUGUUUUUUUUUUUUGUUUGUUUUGUUUUUUUUUUUUUGUGAGACGGAGUUUCAUUCUUGUUGCCCAGGCUGGAGUGCCAUGGCGCGAUCUCGGCUCACCGCAAACUCCGCCUCCUGGGUUCAAGCGAUUCUCCUGCCUCAGCCUCCGGAGUAGCUGGGAUUACAGGCAUGCGCCACCAUGCCCGGCUAAUUUUUUUUUUUUUUUUUUUUUUUUUAGUAGAGACGGGGUUUCUCCAUGUUGAUCAUGCUGGUCUCAAACUCCAGAUCUCAGGCCCGCCUCGGCCUCCCAAAGUGCUGGGAUUACAGGCGUGAGCCACCGCGCUCGCCCCGUCAGGACUCUUUCUUGAGGUUUUGUCUUCUGUUCCUUGUGGACUCUCCCUUGCCAGCCUUGAGGAAGGAGCUGCCAUGUUGGAGGCUACCCUAUGGAGAAGCCCAUGUAGCAAGGACAUAAGGGUGGCUGGUGGCCCAGACAGAAAGGAGCUGAGGCUCUCGGCCCAACAGCCUGAAAAGAACUGAAGUUACACCCACAAUGACAUGACUUUGGAAGCAGAUCCCUGAGUCUUCAGAUGAGACCUCAGAACUGGCCAACACCUUGAUUGAAGCCCUAAUGAGAGACCCUGAAGUAGAGGGCCCUCCUAAGCCAUGCCUGGAUCCGUGACUCAUAGGAACUGUGAGCCUACCAUGAAGUCGCCGGGGAUGGACAAACUGGAGGACGACUCCGCACCUGAUGUUUAAGAGAAAGUGCAGCCUCCAUGCUGCUGGCAGAGUCAUCACGUCGUCUUUUGGAAGGCAGUCUUAAAAAGGCCCAGAAGCUCAACAGCAGUCUCAACAGCACAUAAAACCCCACCGACGGCGGCCGCGCUUGCGCCUGCGCACUCUUGACGGCCGCCCGAGUCCUGGCAGGGGACCGCCAGGUUAAGAGAUCUCGGGUGACAGCGGAUUCGAGAGGUUACAGUGGAUUCCAGAGGUUACAGUGCGAAGAGCGCGAGUAUUGCAACCGUGCAAGUGUGGUAUUGCUGGUUACAACCGUGGAUUUCAUCGUCGAAAUUUCACUUUUGCCUUUUUUAAGACUAAAAAGUUAAGCUGUAGAUGAAUAUAUACGCUUUACUAAAAAUUCCCAUACAAAGAUUAUAGACUCAAACUUGAAAAACAUAUCAAUUUUUUUUUACUUCAGUGGGAUUAUACUAUUGACAUUCUAAAAUUUGAAUUUUAUACUUAGCAAUAUAACAUAGACUUGUUUCUAUGUCAGUAAAGUACAUAUACAGCUACUUUAAUUUUUAUAUGGUCCAUAUAAUAUGGUCGGGGCAGAUCUUAGUUUGUGGAUUGCAUGGAGCACGUCCCUGGAUGUGACCAGCGCACACUAUCUGUUUCCAUGCGGGGAGGUUGGGGUUGGUUGCUUCCACUUUGCCCUGAUCGCUUGGGUUUUGUAUUUUGACUCUGGAGAUACGUAAAUAAAAUUUUACUUGUCUAAAUACAGCUAAACUUCACAAAAGGUUUUAAGACAUACAAAUGUGUUUCAAACUGGUUUUGGAAACCUUUGAAUUUAAUGAUAUCUUGCAAGUUUCUCAUGUUUUUAAGAACAUAAAAUGCUUAUAGAUAUUUGAAAUUUUGAAAUUUGAUCUGAUUAAAAUGCGGCUGUCUUGAAUGAUUUUGUCCAAUUUAUGAUCACAUACUGGCAUCUUCCCUCAAGCCAGACUAUGUUUGCUUGCUUGUUUUUGUUUUGUUUUGUUUGUUUUUUGAGACAGCGUCUCACACUCUGUCUUCUAGGCUGGAGUGGAGUGGCGCGAUCACAGUUCACUACAGCCUCCACCUCCCUGUGCUCAAGCUUUCCUCCCACUUCGGCCUCCCAAAGUGCUGAGAUUACAGGCAUGAGCUACCACGCCCCGCCUCAGAAAAUGCUUUCUAACUUUGUAUUUAAUAUUUACUAAAUUCUGUAUUUUUCACUGAUAAAUGUGUCAAAAUAAUAGGAUGUUUGAAUAAAGGAUCCAAAAGUAAUAUACUCUAUUCAAUUCACCAUCUUUACUCAAUUUUAAGCAAAAUUUUCUCAUGCGUAUCAUUAUGGACUCGU